UUAUUGUCAAUUUUUCUUCUUUCUUUUUCCAACUUAAUGGAUUAGAGUUGUCAGAUUCUGUCUAUUUGAUUCUAGGUGCUUGAAUUUGAUUGCAGUGAAUUUGGCUAGUUUUGCUUAUUGGACUCCAGGGAGCGAAGUGAUGAGGCAAAUUUAUACUUCACAUUAUCGCUGCUGAAUGCUUGAUUACUAGCUGGGAAUCUUUCUUGCCUACCACCCUUUGCAAAGUAUCCGAUGAAAGCUGAAGUUAAUAUGGACAUGUUCUUAUGUUAUUUAUGCAGUAAUGUUGAAUUUGGCUCGACAUCAAAUCGUCAGAAAGAACCUUGGGAUAGAGAUGUUUCUUUGUUGUAUUCUCCAUGUUGAAUUUUAUCCUUUCGAGUCGCUAUCUCAUAUAUUACAACCUCCACAAUUCUCUCCCGUCUCGUUAGCGAUUGCAGGUGAAAAUGUUAUGACACAGCAUAACAAGGUAAGGGCCUCUGAUCAUUCAUUUGAGACGAUGGAAUUACAUUCAGUUUCUGGUAACUUUUGGGAAACGGAGUACCUUUGCGUGUUAUUAGUUUAAAUUGAUUAUUCCCCAGUUUUGAUAGUAUCAACAGGUUAUUUACAUCUCAACUUAAUAACCAUCUCUUGCAUACUGCAUUUUCCUUGUAGGAUUUCACCCCAUCAUCCAUGGCUACUGGCCACCGACAGUCACCUUUAUUUUACUCUAAUGUAUAUAUUUGGUGAUCUCGUUUUGCUAGAAAAUUGGUCUCUCAAUGAGAUAAAUCAUCAUUAGCUUUGCUUUGAAUUGCAUUCGAUGGCUCUAGAAGCUUAUUUGAUUUACGAAGUACUUUUACUGUUUA